AUGGAACGGCACCUCCUUCAGACUAUGGCAGGUUUUGUGAUUUUGUGUUGGAAUUGCCGAGGAUUGGGGACAGAUUCCACAGUUGGCGAGCUGCGCUGGUUGGUGCAGAGCUAUCGCCCAUCUCUCCUUUUCUUGUGUGAGACAAAGAUGGCAGAUAAAAGGGUGAGAAACUUCAUGUGGUCACUGGGAUUUUCAAAUUCUUAUGCAGUAAGUAGUGAGGGCCAAAGUGGAGGCUUACGUUUGUUUUGGCUAUCAUCAGUCGAUGUUUCUUUGAAGGCGUUUAACAAUAGAUGCAUAGACGUUCAUGUCAAGCCUGAUCAAGGACCAGUCUGGAGGGCGACUUUUGUGUAUGGAGAACCAAGAAGAGAAAAUAGAUGCCAAUUUUGGGAUUUUAUCCGUUUUAUGCGAGCGCAGUGGGAUGGUCCAUGGAUCUGCUGUGGGGAUUUCAACGAGGUGUUAAGCCACGACGAACAUCAAGGCCUUCGAGAUAGAACAGAUAGGCAAAUCAAUGACUUCCAACAGUGCUUAGCUGAUUGUGGCCUCAUCGACUUGGGUUAUUCCGGUCCUAAAUAUACUUGGUCUAAUCGCCAGGACUCUCACCGCCAUGUCAAAGCCCGACUAGACAGAGCUGUAGCUAACAUUGAGUUCUCUAAUAUUUUUGAGGACUUUUUGGUUGAGAAUGUCAUCACUACUACCUCGGAUCACCAUGCUGUCCAUAUUGCUCUUAAUAAGGGGAAGAUUCCUUAUGACAGGGGAAAGACUUCUAAUGAUCAUUGUCCUGUGCAGCAAGGUUUCAAAUUCGAAGCUAUGUGGCUGAGAGCUCCUGACUACCGGGAGGUCUUAGAGAAGGCUUGGGCAGAAGGUAGGGGUAAUCUGCCUUUAUCACUGCAAUCAACCUGGUCCAAUCUGAAUCGAGUGGCAGCUUCCCUUAAACAAUGGGAUAGAGAAUCUUUUGGCUCUGUGAGAUCCAAUAUCCGGAAGUUGGAAAGGCGUCUUAAAUGUCUAAGGUCGACCCCUGUCUCUGAUGCAUCGAUUAUGGAGGAACGCUCAUUGGAGAGACAAUUAGGUGAACUUUUUGAGCGAGAAGAAAUCAUGGCUAGGCAACGUUCUCGGGUGGACUGGCUCCAGGAAGGUGACCGGAAUACUGCAUUUUUUCAUGCUCGGGCAUCGGCACGUCGACGUACGAAUAGAAUUAAUUCUCUCACUCAUACUGAUGGUUCAAUUACUGAAGACCAGGAGGAGAUAAAAGGUAUGGUGCACAGUUUUUAUGAUAAUCUUUUUACUACUGAACAGUCUGCUUCGCUGGAUGCAGUUCUUCAGUCUAUUCCGUGCAAAGUGGAUGACUCCAUGAAUGCUGAGCUUUGCAAGCCUUAUACGGACGACGAAAUAAAAUUUGCCUUGUUUCAAAUGGGGCCAACAAAGGCACCAGGACCUGAUGGUUUUCCUGCACUUUUCUACCAAACUCACUGGGAUUUCUUAAGGGAAGAUAUUUGUCAUGCUGUCAGAUGCUUUUUGAAUGGAAUGCCAAUUCCUGAUGGUUUUUCAGACUCUGUAAUUGUCCUAAUUCCAAAAGUUGCAAGGCCAAAACACCUAAACAACUUCAGACCAAUAAGCCUAUGCAAUGUCCUCUACAAGAUAGCUUCAAAAGUAUUGGCUAAUAGGCUCAAGAUUAUCUUGCCAGCAAUCAUCUCUGAGCAUCAAAGUGCUUUUGUUCCGGUAAGCUAA
rnacentral:rRNA from 1 species